UAACUAAUGCCUUGACCUUCCUUAUCCUUCCACACAGGACAGCAUUGUGGAGGGCUGUGCGGCCAUUACAAUCAACCAUUUCAAGCGCUUCCAGACAUGGAGACAAGAGCUCAACCAGAAUCUCGUUCAAAAAAUCUUUUAGCAGAUUCCCAAUCACCCUUGAAUGCAGCUUGCAGCAAUGACAUUGAGAAGGGUCCCAGAAAAGAACAAUUUCAUGAAGAUCCGCCCCUGAUAGUAAUUUCACUCUGAAAUUACUCUUUUGAGGGAUAACGCACCUGGAGCACCUCCGGAUUCAGAAGGGGCUAAUCCAACGCUUACACGAACAUCUUCAAUAUAUGUAGGAGAAAGAGUUGUUCUGCUUGAUCCGAAUUUCUUGAUCCAUCACUUGGCUGCGCCGCCAUUGGGUUGCUCUCCUGGUUAGAGUUUUUCAACAACGAAGUAAACGGAGAAUGCAAAAAUGGGUAAGAUAUUCAGCUAUUAAAGAGUUUUAG